rnacentral:lncRNA from 1 species
AAGUUGGAAAGCAGAUGUGGGGGAUUGGGAAAAGCUGGCGUAGGAAAGUGGGGGAUGUGAAUAUGAUCAAAAUUCACUGUAUGUAUGUGUGACAUUCCAAAAAAUAAAAUAUUAAUAUUGCAUAUUAACUUUUCUUUAAGUUUGUUUUUGAGACAGGGUUUCUUUGUGUAACAGCACUGGCUGUCCUGGAACUCACUUUGUAGACCAGGCUGGCCUCAAACUCAUAGAGAUCUGCCUGCCUCUGUCUCCCGAGUGCUGGGAUUAAAGGCGUGUGCUGCCACCGCCUGGCGUACAUUAACUUUUUUUUAGAGUCAUGAAGAUAGUCAAGUUCUUGGGUUUGUAAAUAUCUGCAGCACUUGCCCAGACUCAUUUGGAAGUGCAAUGGAAGGGAGAACAUUUUAGCAAUAGACAGUUGUGCAGGUUGUGAGUUGUCAUUGAACCUUAGAUGAGUCCAAAUGGUGAGUGUUAGGCUGUGUGUACUUUACCACAGUCAAGAAAAUCCAAGUGGAAAGAGGCCAUCUGCCUCCCCAAUGUAGGCUAGCACAGUAAUAACAUGACCCACUUAAGAGCUACAUGGGAGCAAUUGACUGAUUCUAAACAGUAAGUUAGACACCUGUGCCUAACCUGACAGACCAGGGUUUGGAGAUCCCGAAAGUGUGACUCACUUAGCCAGGUGGUACCCAAAGAGAGGACAGCUUUGGCCCAUGCCACACUGACCCCUUCAGUUUCUGGAACAGUCCAGGCUCUUUGGAUGCUGAGGUGGGGCUUUUCUUCCAUCCUGACUCCAGGUGAGAGUCCCAGAGCUCAGUGUUCGAAAUCCACACAGGAAGGACGAAGGCUUUGGGCACAGAUACAAAUGUGAGGGCUGGAGCUGUAGCAACUGUAGAAACCAGGUAAUGAGCCAACAUAUUUAGAAAGUUAAAGUUGAAAGGUGGAAGAAACCUGAGGUCCAGAGGGUGUCUUGGAGUAUCUGACCUGUCCCAGAAGCCACAUUUUUCAGUCAUGGGAGAAAGAGAAACUAUUUAAGACAUUGUGAGGUGGAAAUUCAGAGACUUUCCAGCUAAAAAUAUCACAUUUUCCAGGUAAGGGAUCUGAAACGGCAAACAAGUUGUCACAUUUCUAAACUAUUUCAGGGUGCUCUGGGAAUUUGGCCUUCCAUAGUCUGACCCAGAGUA